rnacentral:tRNA from 1 species
CCUGCAGCUGGUCGAGGCGGGCGUCCCGUCGUCGGCGACCACGCUGACGGCCGCGCCGUCGAGCCAGGUGUUCGGGUCGUCCUCACGGGUC